GAUGAACGCUGGCGGCGUGCCUAAUACAUGCAAGUCGAGCGAACAGACGAGGAGCUUGCUCCUCUCACGUUAGCGGCGGACGGGUGAGUAACACGUGGAUCAUCUCCCUAUCAGACUGGGAUCAUCUCGGGACACCGGAGCAAACACCGGAUAAUAUCCUGAACCGUAUGGUUGAAUAGUGAAAGACGGCUUUUCUGUCACUUAUAGAUGGAUCCGCGCCGCAUUAGCUAGUUGGUAAGGUAACGGCUUACCAAGGCAACGAUGCGUAGCCGACCUGAGAGGGUGAUCGGCCACACUGGAACGGGGACACGGUCCAGACUCCUACGAGAGGCAGCAGUAGGGAAUCUGCCGCAGUGGGCGAAAGCCUGACGGAGCGACGCCGCGUGAGUGAUAGAGGUCUUCGGAUCGUGAAACUCUGUUAUUAGGGAAGAACAAAUGUGUAAGUAACUAUGCACGGCUUGACGGUACCUAAUCAGAAAGCCACGGCUAACUACGUG
rnacentral:rRNA from 1 species